rnacentral:rRNA from 1 species
AAAUUGAAGAGUUUGAUCAUGGCUCAGAUUGAACGCUGGCGGCAGGCCUAACACAUGCAAGUCGAACGGUAACAGGAAGCAGCUUGCUGCUUCGCUGACGAGUGGCGGACGGGUGAGUAAUGUCUGGGAAACUGCCUGAUGGAGGGGGAUAACUACUGGAAACGGUAGCUAAUACCGCAUAAUGUCGCAAGACCAAAGAGGGGGACCUUCGGGCCUCUUACCAUCGGAUGUGCCCAGAUGGGAUUAGCUUGUUGGUGGGGUAACGGCUCACCAAGGCGACGAUCCCUAGCUGGUCUGAGAGGAUGACCAGCCACACUGGAACUGAGACACGGUCCAGACUCCUACGGGAGGCAGCAGUGGGGAAUAUUGCACAAUGGGCGCAAGCCUGAUGCAGCCAUGCCGCGUGUAUGAAGAAGGCCUUCGGGUUGUAAAGUACUUUCAGCGGGGAGGAAGGGAGUAAAGUUAAUACCUUUGCUCAUUGACGUUAUCCGCAGAAGAAGCACCGGCUAACUCCGUGCCAGCAGCCGCGGUAAUACGGAGGGUGCAAGCGUUAAUCGGAAUUACUGGGCGUAAAGCGCACGCAGGCGGUUUGUUAAGUCAGAUGUGAAAUCCCCGGGCUCAACCUGGGAACUGCAUCUGAUACUGGCAAGCUUGAGUCUCGUAGAGGGGGGUAGAAUUCCAGGUGUAGCGGUGAAAUGCGUAGAGAUCUGGAGGAAUACCGGUGGCGAAGGCGGCCCCCUGGACGAAGACUGACGCUCAGGUGCGAAAGCGUGGGGAGCAAACAGGAUUAGAUACCCUGGUAGUCCACGCCGUAAACGAUGUCGACUUGGAGGUUGUGCCCUUGAGGCGUGGCUUCCGGAGCUAACGCGUUAAGUCGACCGCCUGGGGAGUACGGCCGCAAGGUUAAAACUCAAAUGAAUUGACGGGGGCCCGCACAAGCGGUGGAGCAUGUGGUUUAAUUCGAUGCAACGCGAAGAACCUUACCUGGUCUUGACAUCCACGGAAGUUUUCAGAGAUGAGAAUGUGCCUUCGGGAACCGUGAGACAGGUGCUGCAUGGCUGUCGUCAGCUCGUGUUGUGAAAUGUUGGGUUAAGUCCCGCAACGAGCGCAACCCUUAUCCUUUGUUGCCAGCGGUCCGGCCGGGAACUCAAAGGAGACUGCCAGUGAUAAACUGGAGGAAGGUGGGGAUGACGUCAAGUCAUCAUGGCCCUUACGACCAGGGCUACACACGUGCUACAAUGGCGCAUACAAAGAGAAGCGACCUCGCGAGAGCAAGCGGACCUCAUAAAGUGCGUCGUAGUCCGGAUUGGAGUCUGCAACUCGACUCCAUGAAGUCGGAAUCGCUAGUAAUCGUGGAUCAGAAUGCCACGGUGAAUACGUUCCCGGGCCUUGUACACACCGCCCGUCACACCAUGGGAGUGGGUUGCAAAAGAAGUAGGUAGCUUAACCUUCGGGAGGGCGCUUACCACUUUGUGAUUCAUGACUGGGGUGAAGUCGUAACAAGGUAACCGUAGGGGAACCUGCGGUUGGAUCACCUCCUUACCUUAAAGAAGC